rnacentral:rRNA from 1 species
AGUCGCAGAUACCAGCUGGCUGCAACUGUUUAAUAAAAACACAGCACUGUGCAAACACGAAAGUGGACGUAUACAGUGUGACGCCUGCCCGGUGCUGGAAGGUUAAUUGAUGGGGUCAGCCGCAAGGGGAAGCUCUUGAUCGAAGCCCCAGUAAACGGCGGCCGUAACUAUAACGGUCCUAAGGUAGCGAAAUUCCUUGUCG